rnacentral:rRNA from 1 species
AACGAACGCUGGCGGCAGGCCUAACACAUGCAAGUCGAGCGGACCCUUCGGGGUUAGCGGCGGACGGGUGAGUAACGCGUGGGAAUAUGCCCUUCUCUACGGAAUAGUCCUGGGAAACUGGGGGUAAUACCGUAUACGCCCUUUGGGGGAAAGAUUUAUCGGGGAAGGAUUAGCCCGCGUUGGAUUAGGUAGUUGGUGGGGUAAUGGCCUACCAAGCCGACGAUCCAUAGCUGGUUUGAGAGGAUGAUCAGCCACACUGGGACUGAGACACGGCCCAGACUCCUACGCGAGGCGGCGGUGCGGAGUCUUGCAUUAGGCGAGGAAGCCUGAUGUAGCAUCGCCGCGUGCCGGAUGUCGGCCUUGCGGUUGUAUUGCACUUUCGCCUGUGACGAAGCGUUAAUGACGGUAAUGGGUAAAGAAGCACCGGCUAACUCCGUG